CUCUAUGUCCCUACCCCUCUGAACACACCCGAUCUCAUCUGAUCUUGAAAGGUAAGCAGGUUUGGGCCUGGUUAGUACUUGGAUGGGUAGGAAUACAGGAUGCUGUAGGCU
ensembl:rRNA 5S_rRNA 5S ribosomal RNA